ensembl:snoRNA
GGCACUUUGUGUGUGUUUGUUCAAUGGGUGAACAGAGGCAGGAAAGACAGGCGCAAAAAUAAAUCCUCUCUUGCAUCCCAGAACCCAUUGUUCAGUGUGAGUUUUGAUACAUACAAGAAGGAAUAUG